rnacentral:rRNA from 1 species
UGAUCCUGGCUCAGAUUGAACGCUGGCGGCAGGCCUAACACAUGCAAGUCGAGCGGUAGCGGGAAGAGCUUGCUCUUUGCCGACGAGCGGCGGACGGGUGCGUAACACGUAGGAAUCUGCCUGGUAGUGGGGGAUAGCCCGGAGAAAUCCGGAUUAAUACCGCAUACGCCCUAAGGGGGAAAGCAGGGGAUCGGUUCGCCGACCUUGCGCUAUCAGAUGAGCCUGCGUCGGAUUAGCUUGUUGGUGGGGUAAAGGCCUACCAAGGCGACGAUCCGUAGCUGGUCUGAGAGGAUGAUCAGCCACACUGGGACUGAGACACGGCCCAGACUCCUACGGGA